UCAGUUGUGAAAGUUUGCGGCUCAACCGUAAAAUUGCAGUUGAUACUGGCUGUCUUGAGUACAGUAGAGGUGGGCGGAAUUCGUGGUGUAGCGGUGAAAUGCUUAGAUAUCACGAAGAACUCCGAUUGCGAAGGCAGCUCACUGGACUGCAACUGACACUGAUGCUCGAAAGUGUGGGUAUCAAACAGGAUUAGAUACCCUGGUAGUCCACACAGUAAACGAUGAAUACUCGCUGUUUGCGAUAUACAGUAAGCGGCCAAGCGAAAGCAUUAAGUAUUCCACCUGGGGAGUACGCCGGCAACGGUGAAACUCAAAGGAAUUGACGGGGGCCCGCACAAGCGGAGGAACAUGUGGUUUAAUUCGAUGAUACGCGAGGAACCUUACCCGGGCUUAAAUUGCAUUUGAAUAUAUUGGAAACAGUAUAGUCGUAAGACAAAUGUGAAGGUGCUGCACGGUUGUCGUCAGCUCGUGCCGUGAGGUGUCGGCUUAAG
rnacentral:rRNA from 1 species